GAUCUGGCUCAGGAUGAACGCUAGCUACAGGCUUAACACAUGCAAGUCGAGGGGCAGCAUUGGGAUAGCUGCUAUUCAGAUGGCGACCGGCGCACGGGUGAGUAACGCGUAUCCAACCUCCUGCCAGUAGGGAACAGCCCGGCGAAAGUCGGAUUAAUGCCCUAUGUUCUUCAAUGCGGACAUCUAAGUUGAAGGAAAGAUUCAUCGCUGGCAGAUGGGGAUGCGUCCGAUUAGCUUGCCGGCGGGGUAACGGCCCACCGGGGCGACGAUCGGUAGGGGUUCUGAGAGGAAGGCCCCCCACACUGGUACUGAGACACGGACCAGACUCCUACGGGAGGCAGCAGUGAGGAAUAUUGGUCAAUGGGCGUAAGCCUGAACCAGCCAAGUAGCGUGCAAGGAUGACGGCCCUACGGGUUGUAAACUGCUUUUAUGCGGGGAUAAAGUGCGGCACGUGUGCCGCUUUGCAGGUACCGCAUGAAUAAGGACCGGCUAAUUCCGUGCCAGCCGCCGC
rnacentral:rRNA from 1 species